rnacentral:rRNA from 1 species
AUACGGAGGGUGCGAGCGUUGUACGGAAUUAUUGGGCGUAAAGAGCAUGUAGGCGGUCUGUUAAGUCUGGUGUGAAAGCCCGGGGCUCAACCCCGGAAGUGCAUUGGAUACUGGCAGACUUGAGUAUGGGAGAGGAAAGCGGAAUUCCGAGUGUAGGAGUGAAAUCCGUAGAUAUUCGGAGGAACACCAGUGGCGAAGGCGGCUUUCUGGACCAAUACUGACGCUGAGAUGCGAAAGCGUGGGGAGCGAACAGGAUUAGAUACCCCGGUAGUCC